rnacentral:lncRNA from 1 species
CGUGACUCCAGUGUAAUAUUUUUACAUUAUUGAAUGUCAGUAGGUAGUGUUACCUUACUGUUUCCUUGGUGACCUGUGGUAGAGACAGCUAUGGAGACAGGUCAUCAGUCUGUUAUAUAGAGCUAUGGAGACAGGUCAUCAGUCUGUUAUAUAGAGCUAUGGAGACAGGUCAUCAGUCUGUUAUAUAGAGCUAUGGAGACAGGUCAUCAGUCUGUUAUAUAGAGCUAUGGAGACAGGUCAUCAGCCUUUUAUAUAGAGCUAUGGAGACAGGUCAUCAGUCUGUUAUAUAGAGCUAUGGAGACAGGUCAUCAGUCUGUUAUAUAGAGCUAUGGAGACAGGUCAUCAGUCUGUUAUAUAGAGCUAUGGAGACAGGUCAUCAGUCUGUUAUAUAGAGCUAUGGAGACAGGUCAUC